GACGAAGGGGGCUAGCGUUGUUCGGAAUUACUGGGCGUAAAGCGCGUGUAGGCGGUUGUUCAAGUCGGGUGUGAAAGCCUUGAGCUCAACUCAAGAAAUGCACUCGAUACUGGAUGACUUGAGGACCGGAGAGGAUAGCGGAAUUCCCAGUGUAGUGGUGAAAUACGUAGAGAUUGGGAAGAACACCAGUGGCGAAGGCGGCUAUCUGGACGGUUUCUGACGCUAAGACGCGAAAGCGUGGGGAGCAAACAGG
rnacentral:rRNA from 1 species